UGCCAGAUAGCUCAGUUGGUAGAGCACCUGACUAGAGGUUCAGGGGGCCUGGGUUCGAAACCAGGUCUGGUCC
rfam:Crassostrea gigas strain 05x7-T-G4-1.051#20 contig569, whole genome shotgun sequence.